AGUAAGCGAGAAACAAAGCCACCUGCGGAACGUAUGAGACAAGUUCGAUGCCAGAGGAGACGAAUGAGGGGGAAAAUGAAGGAGAGGAAGAAACGGCGCGUCUUACCUGUUGGUGAAAAUAUGCGUUUCCGGUUGGGUCGCCGAAACUUUUUCGAAUUCUUCAGCGGCGUCGGCGUUGGACGUCUCGAAGUCGAAGACCUCCGAUUGGGAGAGCGUGUCCGCUUCCGCCGGGGUGCGCAUCCUAGCGCCCCUGAUAAUUUCGACGUCCUAAUCCUGGAGGGCAUAAACGGAAGGCGAACCCCGAUUAGAAUCUGCGGGAGGCUACCCUCACCACUCCCACAUCUGUUGUGACUCCACUGUCGUUCGCCACCGUCUGAAAUCGCCCUUAUCUACGCCGAAAAUCUAAUUCCGGGGGUCCCAAACCCGGAGUGAAUGAAUCGUGGGUGGUAAGCGAGACAGAAAAUAAGGAGGGUCGCCCCCGAGGGCGGCUGCACGUCGAUAAACCCGCAGGUAAAAGCAGAAAAGUUGAAAGCGGCGAACAUUUUCGGGAAUAGUUUCUCCCUAUUUUCGUGGCGCACGUUUUUUCCUCGCACCGGAUGAGAAUCGUCGUGAUUCCGUGUAAAAGUUUUCGCUCUGAGAACCGCUGACGGGCUUCUUCUUUUUUACCGUCUGUCUCCGCGGAUAACUCGCAUUAGGUUAUUUCGUCCGGCUCGCCGUGCACCGUACCAAAUUCCGGCCACCUCGCGAACGAAAAUGCGCCCGAAAAACGGAGCGCUCCGAAAUCUUCGCGGUUUCUCUUUUCGGUUUUUUCGCUUUUCAAAAUAUUCGCGGCUCACGGUUCGUAGGCUAUCGAUCGAUCGCGCCGACGAAAUACUGCGGAGCGCGUAUUCGUAUUCUGGUAAUACAGGCGCUGAACAUGUCGUCCCAGGCAUUCACAUUUCCCAUAUUCGAUCCACGGUUCAUCGGACGCGUCCGCCACUCGAUUUUCCUCGUGAUCCGGACGACCGAGAUAAUUUCGCGAGACCUUGAAAAAGGGCGGAAUUACGGCCGUUCCUAACCUACGCGCACACGAUGUCGGGGGAUGCGAAUCGACCGAGGGUAAGAAAAAAAAAACAAAAACAAACGAAAAGCUGGGGGCGAUCGCGUUCCGAUCGGCCAUUGUGCGACCGCUUUUUCUUUCAGUGUUGUCUGCAUGGGGAUCGUAGGAGAAUAGAAAAACGGAAAAUCAGGUCGAGAGCGCGUAACGAAGCUUUGCGUUGUAUUUUCAGGUGCUUCGGUCGUCCGAAGAGGAGGACGAGGAACUUGCCGACACGGACUGUAC
rnacentral:misc_RNA from 1 species